UGACGUGGGCGCAAGCCUGACCGCCUGCCGCGUGAGUGAUGAAGGCCCUAGGGUUGUAAAGCUCUUUUGUGCGGGAAGAUAAUGACUGUACCGCAAGAAUAAGCCCCGGCUAACUUCGUGCCAGCAGCCGCGAUAAUACGAAGGGGGCUAGCGUUGCUCGGAAUCACUGGGCGUAAAGGGUGCGUAGGUGGAUUCUUAAGUCAGGGGUGAAAUCCUGGAGCUCAACUCCAGAACUGCCUUUGAUACUGAGAAUCUUGAGUUCGGGAGAGGUGAGUGGAACUGCGAGUGUAGAGGUGAAAUUCGUAGAUAUUCGCAAGAACACCAGUGGCGAAGGCGGCUCACUGGCCCGAUACUGACACUGAGGCACGAAA
rnacentral:rRNA from 1 species